GCCUUUACUGACGCUAAAGCUCGAAGGUGCGGGUAUCGAACAGGAUUAGAUACCCUGGUAGUCCGCACGGUAAACGAUGGAUGCCCGCUGUUUGCGAUAUAUUGUAAGCGGCCAAGAGAAAUCGUUAAGCAUCCCACCUGGGGAGUACGCCGGCAACGGUGAAACUCAAAGGAAUUGACGGGGGCCCGCACAAGCGGAGGAACAUGUGGUUUAAUUCGAUGAUACGCGAGGAACCUUACCCGGGCUUGAACUGCAGCGGAAGGAAACAGAGAUGUUGACGUCCUUCGGGACCGCUGUGGAGGUGCUGCAUGGUUGUCGUCAGCUCGUGCCGUGAGGUGUCGGCUUAAGUGCCAUAACGAGCGCAACCCUUCUCUUCAGUUGCCAUCAGGUAAUGCUGGGCACUCUGGAGACACUGCCACCGUAAGGUGUGAGGAAGGUGGGGAUGACGUCAAAUCAGCACGGCCCUUACGUCCGGGGCUACACACGUGUUACAAUGGCCGGUACAGAAAGUCGGAUGCCCGUAAGGUCAUUCUAAUCAAGAAAGCCGGUCCCAGUUCGGACUGAGGUCUGCAACCCGACCUCACGAAGCUGGAUUCGCUA
rnacentral:rRNA from 1 species